GUAGAUACAAUUUUAGAAUAUAAUUAACUUUAAUUAUAAAUUCAAUCUUUACACAAAACCAACUGAUAUUGCAUGCCUCCUCAACCCCCUCAUCUUCUCUUCCUACUUUCAUCACUAUUAGGUCACAUAACAAUUAAAAAUUUCUAUACGGUCGAGUUUAAUCGACAAAGUGAUUAAUCCGUCAAAGACUAUUCAAGACUGUCAUAACUUGGGGUUUGCGGAAAGAGUAGUCAGCAGAGAAUACUAAUUAAUUUGUUCCAAAUAAGACAAUCAACUUUUUAAGUAGUUAAAAUUUUUAUUUUUCGAAGCUAGAAGGAUAGUAUGGUUUAAAUGAGUAGAAUAUCUAAAUAGACCAUAAACAGAAUCGAUUUAAAUAAAAGAAAAGACAGCCUAGAUAAAGUGAUGUCAACAAAAAAAAACACAACACGAACAUCUACAAUCCAAUAAGAAAAAUAUUAAAAAUAAAUAAAAAUACGAAUCUCUUGAACAAAAUAAACCAUAACCCAACUCUUGUCAAAGUAAAAAAAAAAUCAGAACAGAAGGAACAUAAAAAAAGAAAAAAAAAAAUGAUUCCAAAAAACUGAUGGUGGGCCUUCGCGGACCAAGUUGUAGUUGUGCUUGAGCUUCUACCGCGCCACCCACCCAUUUGUAGGCUUGUCUCUUUCGCAACAAUUUGAAUCAUACGACGAGAAUAGAAACAAAAGAUUUUAACUGAAUCACAGCAGCAGUAACAUCACAAGAGGAAAAUUCUAUCACACACAAAAAAUGAUUGCAACUUCGUCGUCACAAUACAAAAAUGCAUUUUUCAUUGUUACAGAAUUUGAAUUGGAUAUAAAAUUUAUUCAAUUAAUAUUGUAUAGACAUUUAACUAAGUAAUUAAACACUUUAAAUGGAAUAUAAGAUGUUUUUUAACAAG